rnacentral:rRNA from 1 species
UGGGUAAUAUUGGACAAUGGGCGCAAGCCUGAUCCAGCCAUGCCGCGUGAGUGAUGAAGGCCCUAGGGUUGUAAAGCUCUUUCACCGGUGAAGAUAAUGACGGUAACCGGAGAAGAAGCCCCGGCUAACUUCGUGCCAGCAGCCGCGGUAAUACGAAGGGGGCUAGCGUUGUUCGGAUUUACUGGGCGUAAAGCGCACGUAGGCGGACUUUUAAGUCAGGGGUGAAAUCCCGGGGCUCAACCCCGGAACUGCCUUUGAUACUGGAAGUCUUGAGUAUGGUAGAGGUGAGUGGAAUUCCGAGUGUAGAGGUGAAAUUCGUAGAUAUUCGGAGGAACACCAGUGGCGAAGGCGGCUCACUGGACCAUUAAUGACGCUGAGGUGCGAAAGCGUGGGGAGCAAACAGG